rnacentral:lncRNA from 1 species
GCUAGUUAAAAAUGUAAGUGGAGGCAAAAGAUGGAUUUGGAUUUUGCAUAGCUAUGUAUUUCUAAACAUGAGUGUUUUUGAAAUUCUGGGGUGGAUUCUGUAGAGUAAUUGGUUUUCCUGUUGACUCCAGAUAGAGCAGUGACAUUAACAAAUCAAAAGAUGUAUAUCUAAUUUGUUUUACUUGUUUACCAAUUAGCCAGUUUGGAUGUGUGAAGGAAAACAUGAUGAGGAAAAAAGCAAAGUCCAUUCUCCGUCCUGAUUUUUUUUAGGUAGCUUGCCUGGCUGGGAGAGAAAGAGCCCACUUAGAUGGCAUAUGUCUUAGUUUCUUCUCCUGGCCAUUCCCUUGGAGUCAUGCUUGCUAGAAGUCAAGGAUUAUUGCAAAGAGACACAUUUUUCCUCUUUCUCAAUCGACUCCAAAUUAUUACAACACGAUGUCAUACUCAGGUGGAAGUGAGGAGGUAG